GCAGCCGCGGUAAUACGGAGGAUGCGAGCGUUAUCCGGAUUUAUUGGGUUUAAAGGGUGCGUAGGCGGACGGUUAAGUCAGCGGUAAAAUCGAGAGGCUCAACCUCUUCCGGCCGUUGAAACUGGCCAUCUUGAGUGAGCGAGAAGUAUGCGGAAUGCGUGGUGUAGCGGUGAAAUGCAUAGAUAUCACGCAGAACUCCGAUUGCGAAGGCAGCAUACCGGCGCUCAACUGACGCUGAAGCACGAAAGCGUGGGGAUCAAACAGGAUUAGAUACCCC
rnacentral:rRNA from 1 species